rnacentral:rRNA from 1 species
GAUGAACGCUGGCGGCGUGCCUAAUACAUGCAAGUCGAGCGAACAGACGAGGAGCUUGCUCCUCUGACGUUAGCGGCGGACGGGUGAGUAACACGUGGAUAACCUACCUAUAAGACUGGGAUAACUUCGGGAAACCGGAGCUAAUACCGGAUAAUAUAUUGAACCGCAUGGUUCAAUAGUGAAAGACGGUUUUGCUGUCACUUAUAGAUGGAUCCGCGCCGCAUUAGCUAGUUGGUAAGGUAACGGCUUACCAAGGCAACGAUGCGUAGCCGACCUGAGAGGGUGAUCGGCCACACUGGAACUGAGACACGGUCCAGACUCCGACGGGAGGCAGCAGUAGGGAAUCUUCCGCAAUGGGCGAAAGCUUGACGGAGCAACGCCGCGUGAGUGAUGAAGGUCUGCGGAUCGUAAAACGCUGUUAUUAGGGAAGAACAAAUGUGUAAGUAACGAUGCACGUCUGGACGGUACCUAAGCAGAAAGCCACGGCUAACUACGG